rnacentral:rRNA from 1 species
UACGGAGGGCGCAAGCGUUUUUCGGAAUCACUGGGCGUAAAGCGCGUGUAGGCGGUUCGGCAAGUCGGCUGUGAAAGCCCGAGGCUCAACCUCGGAACUGCAGCCGAAACUGCCGGGCUCGAGUCCCGGAGAGGGUGGCGGAAUUUCCGGUGUAGAGGUGAAAUUCGUAGAUAACGGAAGGAACACCAGAGGCGAAGGCGGCCACCUGGACGGUGACUGACGCUGAGACGCGAAAGCGUGGGGAGCAAACAGG